rnacentral:rRNA from 1 species
AUUGAACGCUGGCGGCAUGCCUUACACAUGCAAGUCGAACGGCAGCACGGGUGCUUGCACCUGGUGGCGAGUGGCGAACGGGUGAGUAAUACAUCGGGACGUACCUUAUCGUGGGGGAUAACGCAGCGAAAGCUGUGCUAAUACCGCAUACGCCCUGAGGGGGAAAGCGGGGGAUCGCAAGACCUCGCGCGAUUAGAGCGGCCGAUGCCUGAUUAGCUUGUUGGUGGGGUAAAAGCCCACCAAGGCGACGAUCAGUAGCUGGUCUGAGAGGACGAUCAGCCACACUGGGACUGAGACACGGCCCAGACUCCUACGGGAGGCAGCAGUGGGGAAUUUUGGACAAUGGGGGCAACCCUGAUCCAGCAAUGCCGCGUGAGUGAAGAAGGCCUUCGGGUUGUAAAGCUCUUUUGUCAGGGAAGAAACACCGGCUCUAACACAGUCUGGGAAUGACAGUACCUGAAGAAUAAGCACCGGCUAACUACGUGCCAGCCGCCGCCGUAA